UUAAGUUCAGCGGGUAUUCCUACCUGAUCCGAGGUCAACCUUGCGUUUGUGUUGGUCGUUUUCACGGCCGGCACCCGCCGCGGAGCCCCAGAGCGAGGUGUGUUACUACGCUCGGGAUCGCGGCGAGCCCGCCACUGUAAUUCGGGGCUACGGCGCACGUAGGGCCCCAGCACCAAGCGGGGCUUGAGGGGUUGAAAUGA
rnacentral:misc_RNA from 1 species